rnacentral:misc_RNA from 1 species
AUUGACAAAAGUUUCCCUGCCAAACAAAAUAGUAAAAACAGUUAUAAAGCUAAGAAAUCAUAUUGGACAUUUUAAUAUGUCGCCUGACAAAGAUCAACAACAUUCAUUAGCCUUCAGUUUCCUUAAGCCAAGUAUUUCUUUCAUUUUUAGUGAACCAGAGAACUGAAUAAUCUCAUGAUUCACUCACAUGGAGAUACAUUCUCUUACUAAUUAUAUCUCAACAAAAUCAAAAGGGAGAACAAAUAUAGAAGUUCCAGCAAACUUUUUAAUUAGAGCUGCCCACUCUAGUUGUCAUGCUUUCAUAAAUUUCAUUUGUUCACAUUGGUCAAGUGUAUAAUUUCUUUUAUUCAACUAUGAAUCAAUGUAUUGAUAAGUAAUAUCCAAAUCCAAUCAUCCACAAUAAGUUCCUUAUACCAAGUCCAAAUGGC